rnacentral:rRNA from 1 species
AUUGAACGCUGGCGGAAUGCUUUACACAUGCAAGUCGAACGGCAGCACGGACUUCGGUCUGGUGGCGAGUGGCGAACGGGUGAGUAAUAUAUCGGAACGUAUCCAAUAAUGGGGGAUAACUAAUCGAAAGGUUGGCUAAUACCGCAUACGUCCUACGGGAGAAAGCUAGGGACCUUCGGGCCUGGCGUUAAUGGAGCGGCCGAUAUCGGAUUAGCUAGUUGGUGAGGUAAAGGCUCACCAAGGCGACGAUCCGUAGCUGGUCUGAGAGGACGACCAGCCACACUGGAACUGAGACACGGUCCAGACUCCUACGGGAGGCAGCAGUGGGGAAUUUUGGACAAUGGGCGAAAGCCUGAUCCAGCCAUUCCGCGUGAGUGAAGAAGGCCUUCGGGUUGUAAAGCUCUUUCGCAAGAGAAGAAAACUUACCCUCUAACAUAGGGUGAGGUUGACGGUAUCUUGAUAAGAAGCACCGGCUAACUACGUGCCAGCCGCCGCGGUAA